CCUACGGGGGGCAGCAGUCGGGAAUAUUGCGCAAUGGAGGAGACUCUGACGCAGUGACGCCGCGUAUAGGAAGAAGGUUUUCGGAUUGGAAACUAUUGUCGUUCGGGAAGAUAAAAGACUGUACCUACGGAGGAAGCCCCGGCCCACUAUGUGCCAGCAGCCGCGGUAAUACAUAGGGGGCAAGCGUUAUCCGGAAUUACUGGGUGUAAAGGGGGCGUAGACGGAAGAACAAGUUGGUUGUGAAAUCCCUCGGCUUAACUGAGGAACUGCCACCAAAACUAUUCUCCUUGAGUGUCGGAGAGGAAAGUGGAAUGCCUAGUGUAGCGGUGAAAUGCGUAGAUAUUAGGAGGAACACCAGUGGCGAAGGCGACUUUCUGGACGAUAACUGACGUUGAGGCACGAAAGUGUGGGGAGCAAACAGGAUUAGAUACCCUGGUAGUC
rnacentral:rRNA from 1 species